rnacentral:rRNA from 1 species
AGUGAACGCUGGCGGUAGGCCUAACACAUGCAAGUCGAACGGCAGCACAGUAAGAGCUUGCUCUUACGGGUGGCGAGUGGCGGACGGGUGAGGAAUACAUCGGAAUCUACUUUUUCGUGGGGGAUAACGUAGGGAAACUUACGCUAAUACCGCAUACGACCUACGGGUGAAAGCAGGGGAUCUUCGGACCUUGCGCGAUUGAAUGAGCCGAUGUCGGAUUAGCUAGUUGGCGGGGUAAAGGCCCACCAAGGCGACGAUCCGUAGCUGGUCUGAGAGGAUGAUCAGCCACACUGGAACUGAGACACGGUCCAGACCCCUACGGGAGGCAGCAGUGGGGAAUAUUGGACAAUGGGCGAAAGCCUGAUCCAGAAAUACAGCGUGGGUGAAGAAGGCAUUCGAGUUGUAAAGCCCUUUUGUUGGGAAAGAAAAGAAGCAGGUUAAUACCCCGAUGUUCUGACGGUACCCAAAGAAUAAGCACCGGCUAACUUCGUG